GGGGAAUAUUGCACAAUGGGCGAAAGCCUGAUGCAGCAACGCCGCGUGAGCGAUGAAGGCCUUCGGGUCGUAAAGCUCUGUCCUCAAGGAAGAUAAUGACGGUACUUGAGGAGGAAGCCCCGGCUAACUACGUGCCAGCAGCCGCGGUAAUACGUAGGGGGCUAGCGUUAUCCGGAAUUACUGGGCGUAAAGGGUGCGUAGGCGGUCUUUCAAGCCAGAAGUGAAAGGCUACGGCUCAACCGUAGUAAGCUUUUGGAACUGUAAGACUUGGGUGCAGGAGAGGAGAGUGGAAUUCCUAGUGUAGCGGUGAAAUGCGUAGAUAUUAGGAGGAACACCAGUAGCGAAGGCGGCUCUCUGGACUGUAACUGACGCUGAGGCACGAAAGCGUGGGGAGCAAAC
rnacentral:rRNA from 1 species